GCGGGUGUGGCGGAAUUGGCAGACGCACCAGAUUUAGGUUCUGGCGCCCAAAAGGCGUGGGGUUCAAGUCCCUCCACCCGCACCA
rnacentral:tRNA from 1 species